AUGCACCAGCAUUGAGGUUCUGCUACCACCAGCUGAAGUCACAGACGCGCUGAGGUUGCUAAGAGCUGAGAUCACGGAGCCGUGUUAAGUGCUGGGGGCAGAGGAAGGAGGAGCCAUACCACUCCUACAGGGACAAUCCAAGCUGAAGAAAGUUGACGUGCUGGAGAUCACGGUGUAGCACAUGGAGAGCCUGCAACAGAGCAACACCCUGGGGAUGGUCCAUGCCAUGCUGAGGAGAAUUCACGCUGCCUACCAGGCUCAAGGUGUCACUCCUCCCACAUCUUCAUGGGGACUUUGGAGAGAUUCUUGUUGCUGUAACUGGAUCUCAGAGCACGAGCGGCUGGUUGAGUAUCUUCAGAGCUAUGGGGUCUGGGCCCGAGAGGUGUGAACUCAGCGGCGGCCAGCAUAUCCCUCGGCCCGUGCCUUUUCACAUAGUCCUCAUUGGCCUGGAGCGGCAAACUGCAGCUAGUGGGAGCCAUAAUCGGAUGAACCUGCAGGCACAGCAGGUAAACGGCCCGGCCCGCCAUAGUGCUUACCGUGGCGAGCCACGUGCCAAAGGUUGCUGAUCCCUGACCUAGCAUAUAGUGUCCUUACAGUCCAGGAUGAGGUGUUUGCUUCAGUUUAGGAUUUCUUUAAUUUAGAAUGACUUUUUUUCCACAAGCACCAUUCCCAAUAUGCAUCCACUGCUCCUUCUUCACUUUCCUUGUCCUGCUGUGAAAUUCUUACAAUCCCCCAAAAUAAGAUAAUUACCUCUUCUCUUAAUAUCCUUCACUCUCAUUGUUUGGUCCUGGUUGCCCAUUUUUACUUCCUAAACACAGAGUCACCAUUCUCUACAAAGCUGAUUCUCUGGCACUCCCCUAGUUCUGUAAAAUCAGCUAUUGUUUAUCAUAUACUUAAAAGCUCUUUCUUGACAUUAAAACAUUGUCCAGCUAUACCAAAAGGACAGGAAACAUGUGAUAUGGAUUUAAUCAGUCUGCAACUUUAUUAUUAGAUGUCUUGGACUACCUGUCGGAUAAAAGGGUACAAUGCAGGCACUUCAUUCAAAUAACUAGCUGGGGCUUCCCCUAGCUCCCCUUCAUUUUCCAUCAAGGUCCUCCAGCCAAUCCAUGGUUUGGAUCUUACCACUUCCCCACACCCCAUACAAGGGUUAAGGUGAGCUAUAAGAAAGGGGGGCUUACUGCCAUACCAAUCAUAGGAGCCCUGACCCUCCCCGUCACCCCCCAUUCCAUUCCUUUAACCUGCAUUUCCUUUUAUGUCCUUUAGCAGGCCAUUUAUUUGGUCACUGGAUGCUGUCCCUAUGGAGUACUUGCACUGGACAUCCACCCCACACUUACAAAAUAAGUUGCGACAUACAGCAUAACCCCCUUUCCUCCUUACUGUAAUAGGUCCUCUGUGGCACCUGCUCUGAGGAAGGUGAAAAACCCCCAUUCUACCUAAGCCAAUAUGAUUGCGAAGGAAAAAUUCCUUCCCAGACCUCUUAAAAAAGAGAGACUAGUGCAUUAUCCACAACAGGUCCUAACACAACCUGAUAUUUGCACCUGAGGGGAGGAAGGGUGGAUGCUGCCUUGCUUUCUGCCUGGAGAAAGGGCUUCUAAUUCCAGGUCUUGCACCUUUUAAAACCUUCUGCCCUUACAUUCCCAGGGGAUGAGUCAGUCACUAGGCUGACCCCUAUGCACCUUUUUGCAGCAGUUUCUGACCUUCCUUUUCCCCCCGAUAAAGCACUGUUACCUUCCUCUGGCAAGCCCAGACAACGUAUUCUCCCCUCCCUCCCGAUUCAGGUGUGGUGCAUCAUUAUAUCUUUUCCUUUCUCAUUGAAGAGGAACUACCACUAAUGUGUCCAAUUACUUCUCAAAAGGGUGUUCUUGAUCCAGUUCAGUUUGGAAUUUGCUGUGGCUACCAUAGAAACUUCCCCAAUGUGGUUAAUGACCUCUCACUUUCUGCUAAUCAAGACUCUUUGACCUCUUUCCACUGUUUGACAAUGUUGUUGACUCCAUCCUCCUGCACUGCCUGCAUAACAAUCCAUUACAUGAUUAUGUUUCCUAGUAAUCUAACCUUUUACUUUCCAUUUCCAGUUUUGGAUCCUCCUUUUGUGCUAAGAUUGCUCCUCUCUGGCACCAAGCAAAGCUUAAUUCAUGAUCUUCCAUGUUUCCGUGUCUGUCUUCCUUCUCGUCAUCUUUACUCUGGUUUAAUAAUAACUCACAUUUAUAUUGGUGUUACUCAAUUUUAUAAAACUUUCAACACCUUGAAUGACUCCUUUUCCCACUCUUGGUGGGGCCCAAAGGUGUUAUAAUAAUAACUCAGAUAGUUUCAGUCAUACAUUUUAAUGAAGAAAAACGAUGUGACCACUGGUAUUAAAAAUGUUGUUAAAGUAAGCAUACCAAAGGGUUUUAAGAUCCUGGCA